rnacentral:rRNA from 1 species
CCUACGGGUGGCUGCAGUGGGGAAUUUUGCGCAAUGGGGGAAACCCUGACGCAGCAACGCCGCGUGAGUGAUGAAGGCCUUCGGGUCGUAAAGCUCUGUCAGAGGGAAAGAAGUGCAGUGGUGCUAAUACCAUCAUUGCUUGACGGUACCCUCAAAGGAAGCACCGGCUAACUCCGUGCCAGCAGCCGCGGUAAUACGGAGGGUGCGAGCGUUGUUCGGAAUUAUUGGGCGUAAAGCGCGUGUAGGCGGUUUUUUAAGUCUGAUGUGAAAGCCCCGGGCUCAACCUGGGAAGUGCAUUGGAAACUGGGAGACUUGAAUACGGGAGAGGGUAGUGGAAUUCCUAGUGUAGGAGUGAAAUCCGUAGAUAUUAGGAGGAACACCGGUGGCGAAGGCGGCUACCUGGACCGAUAUUGACGCUGAGACGCGAAAGCGUGGGGAGCAAACAGGAUUAGAUACCCCAGUAGUC